GAUUCUCAGGUCGAGCUGUGCAGAAAAAGUGCUUUGAGCAUGAAAGAAGAGUUGCACGAUUGCGAUAGUACUCUGACAAAUGGGUCUCCUAGCAAUAUCUCUAGUGGUUCGGGAAGCUUGGACGAUAACUUUGAGGAUUGCGUCAAGACCAUCAGGGAACUUGAAUGCCGGGGUCACAUUAAUCAAGAAUUCAGGCUGAAAUUUUUAACGUGGUUCAGCCUAAGAUCCACGGAGCAGGAACGGAGAGUGGUUAACACCUUUGUUCAGGCUCUGAGUGAUGACCGAAGUAGCUUAGCAGGACAGUUGGUUGACACCUUCUCAGAUGUGGUAUCUAGCAAAAGGCCGAGGAACGGGUUCUGCAAUAGGCAUUUUUUUCCGCCCCCCUAAACCUCAGUCUGAAGCAAAUUCAUCCGUAUUCUAGGAGAAGCAUGCUGCCAACAAGAUUGUGGUGGCUGAUUCUGCAGAUAUUUCCGACCAUUCUUGCCGGGAAGUGGCUGCUUGCACUGGAGAAGGCAUUUUCGUACAUUCGGUUCAUUUGCAUUCGAAGCCCUAAAAGUUAGCUUUAGGGAUAUUGUUAGGGGUACAGUUAUUGGUUGCCUUUUCAUAUGGAAAAGGUGACAUGAAUGGCUCAAGAAUUCAGUUGAUUAGGUUCUUAUCUCCUUCUCCUAUUUUUUCCCCCUUUUCAAUUGAGGAUGUGAUCUCAUUCUCCUUCUUCCUUUAAUGAUUAAUGACUGUCUUUAAAAGUUGUU